rnacentral:rRNA from 1 species
UACGUGAGGGGCGAACGUUGUUCGGUGUCACUGGGCUUAAAGGGUGCGUAGGUGGUUGCGUAAGUAAGGUGUGAAAUCCCUCGGCUUACCCGGGGAAUUGCAUUUUAUACUGCGUGGCUUGAGGACUAAAGGGGAAAAGGGAACUCCAGGUGUAGCGGUGAAAUGCGCAGAUAUCUGGGGGAAGGCCGGCGGCGAAGGCGCUUUUCUGGUUAGAUCCUGACACUGAGGCACGAAAGCGUGGGGAGCAAACAGG